CCUACGGGUGGCAGCAGUGAGGAAUAUUGGUCAAUGGUCGGAAGACUGAACCAGCCAAGCCGCGUGAAGGAUGACGGUACAAAGGGUCGUAAACCUCUUUUGUCCGGGAACAAAGACUGUUACGCGUACCCGUAUGAGUGUACCUUAAGAAAAAGCAUCGGCUAACUCCGUGCCAGCAGCCGCGGUAAUACGGAGGGUGCGGGCGUUAUCCGGAUUUAUUGGGUUUAAAGGGUGCGCAGGCGGGCUGUUAAGUGAGCGGUCAAAGCCCGGGGCUCAACCCUGGCCCGCCGCGGAAACUGGCAGGCUUGAGUUGGAGAGAAGUAGGCGGAAUGCGUGGUGUAGCGGUGAAAUGCAUAGAUAUCGCGAAGAACCCCGAUUGCGAAGGCAGCAUGCUGGAUCCACACUGACGCUGAGGCACGAAAGCGUGGGUAUCGAACAGGAUUAGAUACCCGUGUAGUC
rnacentral:rRNA from 1 species